GUGCUUGCUUCGGCAGCACAUAUACUAAAAUUGGAAUGAUACAGAGAAGAUUAGCAUGGCCCCUGCACAAAAACACCUAGUUUCCCUUCUGGGAAAGAGAACAUUUAG